AAUCCAGUAAUGAGUGUUUAUUUUUGUUCAUCAGUGAAUGAAAACGGUUUUUAUCCUAAUAUGAAUUCAGCUUAUGAUCCUGAAUUUAUAUUGUUAAAGCAGUUAAUGAUAUUAUUUCAGAGUUAUAACUGACUUAGCAAAGUCACGUUAUUUAUUUAAGCGAGAUGAAAUUUGAUUUUAUUUUUACUCAGAUCGUGAAUUAUUUCCGACUCAGGAAGUUAAUUAAAUCUGCGGAUUUAAUUUAGAUAUCAGAACAACGAACGAAUUAAAUCUACGGAUUUAAUUUAGAUUCAUUUUAUAAUUUAUCGGUUUUAGUGAGAAAUCACAUGUCGAAAUACGAGAUUUAUUUAAAUAAACAGUAUCAAGCAUAUACGAGCACACGAUCCAUCUUACAGUUACAGAAUCACCGAGACAGAGAAAAUACAUCAAUAAUUCUCCUCUACAUUUUUUUUUCCUUUCUUUUUCUUCUCUUUUUCUUUCCAUUAAUUUUGUUCCCCACUCCAUCAACUCCACUACCCUAUGCUCCCCACCAUCUCCACUACCUUUGCUCCCCAUCAACUCCAACACUUCACCCAUUCCUUCCAUUUCGCACCAGCAAUCACAAAGAGAAGGAAGACUUGGCUUAACUACUUUGCCAAGAUUUCAAGCUGCUCCAGUCCAGUAGUACCCCAACACUCGAAGCUAGAGUUUAUUGGGUGAAAAACCGUGCAUGAGGUCGAGCGCAAGAAUAAGAGCUCGUCAAGGAGUCACUAAUCUGUAGCAAAGCUUUGCUAUCAGGUUGAGCAGCUGCCGAUGGUGAUGAAGUGACGAGCGGGACUCUUUUGUCUUAUUAUGUAUUAAUGAACUCUAGGGUUACAUGUCUUCAUACAUGUAAUCAGAACCUUAUUCCGCUGCGUACUCAGAAGUUUUAUGUUAUUUUGGAUAAGUCGGAGUUAUCCGAACUUGUUAGUUAUUUGAGUCUAUACGACAAAAACUCUGUUAUAUUAUAGAUAUCUAUGUUGUUAACAAUGAUGAAAUACGAUCCUUUCUUGUUUGAUUA